rnacentral:rRNA from 1 species
UACGUAGGGCGCAAGCGUUAUCCGGAAUUAUUGGGCGUAAAGAGCUCGUAGGCGGUUUGUCGCGUCUGCCGUGAAAGUCCGAGGCUCAACCUCGGAUCUGCGGUGGGUACGGGCAGACUAGAGUGAUGUAGGGGAGACUGGAAUUCCUGGUGUAGCGGUGAAAUGCGCAGAUAUCAGGAGGAACGCCGAUGGCGAAGGCAGGUCUCUGGGCAUUAACUGACGCUGAGGAGCGAAAGCAUGGGGAGCGAACAGG